rnacentral:rRNA from 1 species
AGAUUGAACGCUGGCGGCAGGCCUAACACAUGCAAGUCGAGCGGCAGCACGGGUACUUGUACCUGGUGGCGAGCGGCGGACGGGUGAGUAAUGCCUAGGAAUCUGCCUGGUAGUGGGGGAUAACGCUCGGAAACGGACGCUAAUACCGCAUACGUCCUACGGGAGAAAGCAGGGGACCUUCGGGCCUUGCGCUAUCAGAUGAGCCUAGGUCGGAUUAGCUAGUUGGUGAGGUAAUGGCUCACCAAGGCGACGAUCCGUAACUGGUCUGAGAGGAUGAUCAGUCACACUGGAACUGAGACACGGCCCAGACUCCUACGGGAGCAGCAGUGGGAAUAGUUGGACAAUGGGCGAAAGCCUGAUCCAGCCAUGCCGCGUGUGUGAAGAAGGUCUUCGGAUUAGUAAAGCUAACGUUUUAAGGUUAGGGAAGGAAGGUCAAGUUACCUAAAGUACGUUAAUUCUUGUUUUGACGUUACCGAC